rnacentral:rRNA from 1 species
CAGCCGCCACGGGAAUACGGAGGGCGCGAGCGUUACCCGGAUUUACUGGGCGUAAAGGGCGUGUAGGCGGCCUGGGGCGUCCCAUGUGAAAGGCCACGGCUCAACCGUGGAGGAGCGUGGGAUACGCUCAGGCUAGAGGGUAGGAGAGGGUGGUGGAAUUCCCGGAGUAGCGGUGAAAUGCGCAGAUACCGGGAGGAACGCCGAUGGCGAAGGCAGCCACCUGGUCCACUUCUGACGCUGAGGCGCGAAAGCGUGGGGAGCAAACCGGAUUAGAUACCCGCGUAGUCCCUGUCUCUUAUAC